rnacentral:rRNA from 1 species
UACGAAGGGGGCUAGCGUUGCUCGGAAUCACUGGGCGUAAAGCGCACGUAGGCGGCUUCUUAAGUCAGGGGUGAAAUCCUGGAGCUCAACUCCAGAACUGCCUUUGAUACUGAGGAGCUCGAGUCCGGGAGAGGGGAGUGGAACUCCGAGUGUAGAGGUGAAAUUCGUAGAUAUUCGGAAGAACACCAGUGGCGAAGGCGGCUCACUGGCCCGGUACUGACGCUGAGGUGCGAAAGCGUGGGGAGCAAACAGG